GAUGAACGCUGGCGGCGUGCCUAAUACAUGCAAGUCGAGCGAACAGAUGAGGAGCUUGCUCCUCUGACGUUAGCGGCGGACGUGUGAGUAACACGUGUAUAACCUCCCUAUAAUACUGGUAUAACUUCGGGAAACCGGAGCUAAUACCGUAUAAUAUAUUGAACCGCAUGGUUCAAUAGUGAAAGACGGUUUUGCUGUCACUUAUAGAUGGAUCCGCGCCGCAUUAGCUAGUUGGUAAGGUAACGGCUUACCAAGGCAACCAUGCGUAGACGACCUGAGAGAGUGAUCGGCGACACUGGAACUGAGACAGGGUCAAGACGACUACGAGAGGCAGCAGUAGGGAACCUUCCGCAAUAGGCGAAAGCCUGACGGAGCAACGCCGAGUGAGUGAUGAAGGUCUUGGGAUCGUAAAGCUCUGUUAUGAGGGAAGAACAAAUGUGGAAGUAACUAUGCACGUAUUGACGGUAACUAAUAAGAAAGCAACGGCUAACUACGUG
rnacentral:rRNA from 1 species